GCAGUCGAGCGAGCUUUUCAGUAGUUUACUACAGAAAAUGACUGAGCGGCGAACGGGUGAGUAACGCGUGAGCAACCUACCUUAGUUACUGGGAUAGCCCGAGGAAACUCGGAUUAAUACCGGAUAUUCUUAUUUAAUCACAUGAUUUUUUAAGGAAAGGUCAGCCGAACUAAGAUGGGCUCGCGUUCUAUCAGCUAGUUGGUAGGGUAACGGCCUACCAAGGCUACGACGGAUAGCUGGUCUGAGAGGACGAUCAGCCACACUGGGACUGAGACACGGCCCAGACUCCUACGGGAGGCUGCAGCAGGGAAUAUUGUGCAAUGAACGAAAGUUUGACACAGCGACACCGCGUGUGGGAUGACGGAUCUAGGUUUGUAAACCACUUUCAGGAGGGAAGAAAAUGACGGUACCUCCACAAGAAGCCCCGGCCAACUACGUGCCAGCAGCCGCGGUAAUACGUAGGGGGCGAGCGUUGUCCGGAUUUAUUGGGCGUAAAGAGCUCGUAGGCGGUUCAACAAGUCGGUCGUGAAAGUUCAGGGCUCAACCCUGAAAUGUCGAUCGAUACUGUUGUGACUAGGAUACGGCAGAGGUGAGUGGAAUUCCGAGUGUAGCGGUGAAAUGCGUAGAUAUUCGGAGGAACACCAAUUGCGAAGGCAGCUCACUGGGCCGCUAUCGACGCUGAGGAGCGAAAGCUAGGGGAGCAAACAGGAUUAGAUACCCUGGUAGUCCUAGCUGUAAACGAUGGAUACUAGAUGUAGGAAUUGGUUUAACGAUUUCUGUAUCGUAGCUAACGCGUUAAGUAUCCCGCCUGGGGAGUACGGUCGCAAGACUAAAACUCAAAGGAAUUGACGGGACCCCGCACAAGCGGCGGAGCAUGCGGCUUAAUUCGAUGAUACCCGUAGAACCUUACCUGGACUUGACAUAUAAGGGAAAAGUUAUAGAAAUAUAAUGUGCAUUAGCGCCCUAUACAGGUGGUGCAUGGCUGUCGUCAGCUCGUGU
rnacentral:rRNA from 1 species